rnacentral:lncRNA from 1 species
UGAAGUAUUUGUCUUGAUUAGAAUCCACACUAUCUCUUGAAUAUUUGACAAGAGAGUCUUAUAUGUCAAGAGGACAGUGGGGGUCUUAAAGGUCUUGAAAGUCUCAAGAUCUAAUCAAGAAUAAAACCUGAAGUUCUUCACUAGCACACGACUUAAGGCUUAUAACCUAUCGUGUUGACAUAUUCUGUGCCCAUUCCAAUUAAAGUUGGCUUUGCAUAUGAGUUCUUAGAGUUCUCAAUUGGUUGCACAACAACUUGGAAGAAAUGGCAGGCCCUUGAGCUACCAGAUGACAAGAAAUUAAGAUUGAGUUCAGUCCAUACAAGUUUGGAUUUGUCAUUAUCCUUGUCUUGUGACUAUGGUUUUGACAAUUCACAUGGAUAAGAACACAUACACCAUUAAAUCUAAGUGUCAUAAGGUUUCUCUCCGAUUCAUGAAAAUGAUGGUGAGGAAACACUUUCACUAAGUAGAUUUUAGCUAGAUAGCAAUUGUGAUAUUUGCAUUCUCAAAGUCGUUAGUGGAGCGUGUGUGGUUAACCGGCAGACUAACCUGGACUUGUGAGAAGUGGCAAAAAGGUCUAACCAUUAUGAUUACGGCAUCCCUCUUCAUAAUUGUUUAGACACACAAGUGUGCUAUCUAAGGGAAGGUGUAUGAUUUUGAUAAAGUCUUAUCAAAACAAUCUAGUAUCAGAAAUCUGAACUUUGGUAAGAAAGUCAAUGAAGUAUUGAUUUCUAGAAGUCCAGCUGAUUUCUGGGUACAUGUCAAAGCUAGUGGGAGCAUAAGUGUUAUGCUAAUAAUCAUCAUGUUAGUGGGAGCAUGAUAAUUAUGAUAAGUAUUGCAAGUUAGCAAUGUUAAUUAUAGAAAACAAAAGGUUUCAAUUGGGAAAAAGUUGUUUUUCUAUAAUUAAGGGAGAGGAAAUUAUACUUCAUCUCAAAUCUAAAAGCUUAGAUUGAGGUUUUAAUCGUAUUUAGUCAAGAAUAUAUAUAUGAAUGUUAUGUUGAAAUGGAUGAACAUAAGAAAAUUCUAUAUAUGGGUCCAUUGUUUACGUUCUAAAUUUCGAUUAUGAUUACGACAUCCCUUUUCAUAAUCUGAAUUAUGAGAACUUGGCAAAUAGAAAUGGAAAUGGUAUAGCAAAAGACUGGUUUAGCCUCUAUGUGGGACAUCAUGAAUCGUAUCCCAUAUGCUUCGGAUAUAGGAUCGAUUACAUGUGCUAUAUUCAUAUUUUCUAAAAUUUUCCAAAUGGAUGGGGAAUUAAGAAGGGAAAAGGUCUAGAAUUGGAUAUGACUAAAAUGAUUAAAAAAUUGUCAAGGACAAUCUAAGGUUUACCAAAGAUUGGUUGCUCAAGGACAGUUGGAAGCAUAGUGAUAAUUCUGGAAGGAACAUAUUGACAUAAUCUAUAAGGAGGCAACUCUUAUUCAGAAGUGAUAGUCAAAAUGGAAUCUGGAAAUGUUUCAAAGUUAGAAAUUAUUCACUCUGUGUAAGAUUAGGAAACUUAAUGCAAGAAGGAUGUUUCCAAGGAGAUGAUCUCCUUUGGAAUGCUCUGUAAUGGUUGUUGUCAAGUCUUUCUGAUUUUGUGCAUAAUGAUUACAAGAAGAUCAAUGCAUAUAAGUUUAGAAUCUAACAGAUUUCAGUAAAUGGCAUGAAUUUGGAAUUCUUGCAUUUGCAGUAAGGAUUUGGGACUGUGAAAAGAGGAUCAUUGGAGGUAUGUUCAAUUGAUCUAAUUCACAAAGUGAAGAUCAUAGACAAACAUAGCAUGCAUACUUGGUGUAUGGCAUGACUAGUGUUUAGAAAACAUAGUGUACAUGCUUGGAGCAUGGGACAACUAUUAUUUUAAAUUCAAAAAUAAAGUUGAUAGCUGAAACAUUAUACAAUGAAUAAUGUGUAAUCAUAUGGUGAUAAAUAAAAGGUGUUUUAUUUAUGUUCAUAGGUUUUGAUACCAUAUUGGAUUCAAUUAUUAUUGUGUUUCACUUUGCAUGUUUUGACUUCCCGAAUAAACUAGGUUAUUCUUCCGGAAUGACUAAGUUAUUCAAACCAUCCACAGUCGGUCAUAUGUUGGAAGUAGAUAUGAAUUAAGACUGUCAUGGGUUGGCUUGUAGAGGUCUAAGGUGUUGGACAAAGGGCU